AUUGAACGCUGGCGGCAGGCUUAACACAUGCAAGUCGAGCGGGGUGAGGUGCUUCGGUACUGAUCCUAGCGGCGGACGGGUGAGUAAUGCUUAGGAAUCUGCCUAUUAGUGGGGGACAACAUUCCGAAAGGAAUGCUAAUACCGCAUACGUCCUACGGGAGAAAGCAGGGGAUCUUCGGACCUUGCGCUAAUAGAUGAGCCUAAGUCGGAUUAGCUAGUUGGUGGGGUAAAGGCCUACCAAGGCGACGAUCUGUAGCGGGUCUGAGAGGAUGGUCCGCCACACUGGGACUGAGACACUGGCCAGACUCCUACGGGAGGCAGCAGUGGGGAAUAUGGGACAAUGGGCGGAAGCCUGCUCCAGCCAUGCCGCGUGUGUGAAGAAGGCCUUUUGGUUGUAAAGCACUUUAAGCGAGGAGGAGGCUACCUAGAUUAAUACUCUGGGAUAGUGGACGUUACUCGCAGAAUAAGCACCGGCUAACUCUGUGCCAGCCGCCGCGGUAACAC
rnacentral:rRNA from 1 species